rnacentral:rRNA from 1 species
UAGGGAAUAUUGGGCAAUGGAGGCAACUCUGACCCAGCAACGCCGCGUGAAUGAAGAAGGUUUUCGGAUUGUAAAGUUCUUUUCUUGGGGACGAAAAAAAUGACGGUACCUAAGGAAUAAGCCCCGGCAAACUACGUGCCAGCAGCCGCGGUAAUACGUAGGGGGCAAGCGUUGUCCGGAAUGACUGGGCGUAAAGGGUGCGUAGGUGGCUUUUUGCGUCGUAUGUGAAAGCCCUGGGCUCAACCCAGGAACUGCAUACGAUACGGGAAAGCUAGAGUGCAGGAGAGGUCUGUGGAAUUCCAUGUGUAGCGGUAGAAUGCGUAGAUAUAUGGAGGAACAUCGGAGGCGAAGGCGGCAGACUGGACUGUAACUGACACUGAGGCACGAAAGCGUGGGGAGCAAACA